GUUAUCAAGAAAGACCACCACAUCAUAUGGGUCCCAAGGUGAUGAGUUAUCAAGAAAGGCCACCACAUCAUAUGGGUCCCAAGGUGAUGAGUUAUCAAGAAAGACCACCACAUCAUAUGGGUCCCAAGGUGAUGAGUUAUCAAGAAAGGCUACCACAUCAUAUGGGUCCCAAGGUGAUGAGUUAUCAAGAAAGACCACCACAUCAUAUGGGUCCCAAGGUGAGAAGGAUUCAAGGAAGGCCACUACU
rnacentral:lncRNA from 1 species